rnacentral:lncRNA from 1 species
GAGAGCACGAGUUAUACUCAACGUGUGCUCUUGAUCAAAGGAAUCUGUUUCGUCUUUUUCAUCGCUCAACCAAAGUCUUUUAAACAACCACGGCUGGAAGCAAGCGCACGAGAAGCAAGGCAGCACGACGGGCCCAAGCUAUCCAUCCCACAACCCCACGGUUGAGAUGAAUGCUCCGCCUCCUAGCACCGUGGGUGAGAGUACCGCACCAGUUGCUCCACCGCCUGUCCCUGUGGUCACGGAUGCCACUACAGCCCAUACCACGGUACCACUGCAAGUCGUUGUCACCAUAGGCCUUGCGUUGCCUCAAGGCUCUGUAGAAUAAACCACGGCUUAAGCUCAUGGCCCCAUGGCCACAAUAACCUUGUAGCCUCACGGCCUCAUGGUCGGAGUUGAAGACUCUCAC